rnacentral:pre_miRNA from 1 species
CUUAUACUCCUUCCGUCAACGAAAGAUGUCUCAAAUUUGUCAAAAUUUGAAUAUAUCUAGACAUGACUUAGUGCAUAGAUGCAUUCAAAUUUAGUCAAAGUUGAGACAUCCUUUUUUGGACGUAGGAAGGAUUAU